GCCAGCUUGGUGUAGUGGUUUGAGCAUUAGACUAUGACUUUGGGGACCAGGGUUCGAUUUCCUGCUUGGUCA